AUAUUUGAUCUAGGUGCAAGGCAACAGGAACAAAGAUAUCUUUGAGCUUUGUGUUGCUCUUUGCCAGCUUGCUGGAAAGAGACCAUUUGGAAUUGUGGGCUCUGGGUGCUGACAGCUGAACUUUUCCCAUUGCAGAUUACGUCUUUGUCACGCCAGUAGAAGUAGACUCAGCCGGGUCAUAUAUUUCACACGACAUUUUGCACAACGGCAGGAAAAAGCGAUCGGCGCAGAAUGCCAGAAGCUCCCUGCACUACCGAUUUUCAGCAUUUGGACAGGAACUGCACUUAGAACUUAAGCCCUCGGCGAUUUUGAGCAGUCACUUUAUUGUCCAGGUACUUGGAAAAGAUGGUGCUUCAGAGACUCAGAAACCCGAGGUGCAGCAAUGCUUCUAUCAGGGAUUUGUCAGAAAUGACAGCUCCUCCUCUCUCGCUGUGUCUACGUGUGCUGGCUUGGUCUUCAAACCUUGCUUAGUUCUUUCAUUGUUUUUCUCAAUAAACUGAAAGAAUAUUUAUGCUACUUCCCAGAAUUUCAAGUCCAAUUGAAGGGGAAAGUUUAAUAAGGACACGAAAAAAUGAAUUCCUCAUCUCGCCAUUACCUCAGCUUCUGGCCCAGGAACACAACUACAGCUCCCCUGCGGGUCACCAUCCUCACGUACUGUAC
rnacentral:sRNA from 1 species